rnacentral:rRNA from 1 species
UUGACCUCGGAUCAGGUAGGGAUACCCGCUGAACUUAAGCAUAUCAAUAAGCGGAGGAAAAGAAACCAACAGGGAUUGCCUCAGUAACGGCGAGUGAAGCGGCAACAGCUCAAAUUUGAAAUCUGGCCCUUGGGUCCGAGUUGUAAUUUGGAGAGGAUGUUUUGGGUACCGCGGCGGUUUAAAUUUCUUGGAACAGAAUGUCAGAGAGGGUGAGAGUCCCGUCUGGAACUGCGGCAGGGCCUAUGUAAAACUCCUUCGACGAGUCGAGUUGUUUGGGAAUGCAGCUCAAAAUGGGUGGUAAAUUUCAUCUAAAGCUAAAUAUUGGCCAGAGACCGAUAGCGCACAAGUAGAGUGAUCGAAAGAUGAAAAGCACUUUGAAAAGAGAGUUAAACAGUAUGUGAAAUUGUUGAAAGGGAAGCGCUUGCAACCAGACUUGUGUGUGGCGGUUCCCCCUUGCUUCUGCUUGGGCUACUCCGUCAUAUCCAGGCCAACAUCGGUUCUAGGGGUCGGUUAAAGGCCUUGGGAAUGUAUCUACCCCCGGGUAGACUUAUAGCCCAGGGUGUCAUGCGGCCUCCCGGGACCGAGGAACGCGCCUCGGCGAGGAUGUUGGCGUAAUGGUUGUCAGCGACCCGUCUUGAAACACGGACCAAGGAGUCUAACAUCUAUGCGAGUGUUUGGGUGUCAAACCCGUACGCGAAAUGAAAGUGAACGGAGGUAGGAAGCCUUAAGGCUGCACUAUCGACCGAUCCUGAUAUUUAUGGAUGGAUUUGAGUAAGAGCAUAGCUGUUGGGACCCGAAAGAUGGUGAACUAUGCCUGAAUAGGGUGAAGCCAGAGGAAACUCUGGUGGAGGCUCGCAGCGGUUCUGACGUGCAAAUCGAUCGUCAAAUUUGGGUAUAGGGUAAGUUCCUAAUUUCAUCUUCAGUUUUCUACUGUAAACAAUUGCUAACGGUAUUCUUAACAGGGCGAAAGACUAAUCGAACCAUUAUAUGAUAGCUACUAGGUGGUUAAGUGUAACCUCAAAGUGGUUGCAAGUGCCUUAUUCUGGCGCGACACUGCUAAAUUGCGGGGACUUCCUAAAGCUAUUGUUACCAAGCCGGCCCUGAAAAGGGACGGUGGCCGGGGUAAUGACCUAGGGUAUGGUAAAAACACAAUAGAUGUAACAAUGGAUGAUCCGCAGCCAAGUCCUAAGGGCUCUUUUGAGUCUAUGGAUGCAGUUCACAGACUAAAUGGUAGUGGGCUCUAAGCAAAGAUCUUGGGGCUUAAGAUAUAGUCGGUCCUCGGGGAAAGCCCGGGCGCAUACGCUAAAUCUGUGGUAUAGAAUAGCCUCCUUAUGGAGGGUUGUCACAGACCUGAACGGUGCGGGCACUCUUUUAGGGGUGUG